rnacentral:tRNA from 1 species
GCUAGGGUGGCAGAUUAAUGCGUUAGAUUUAAGCUUUAAAGAUGAGGGUUAAAGUCCUCUCCUGGUU